rnacentral:rRNA from 1 species
AGAGUUUGAUCCUGGCUCAGAACGAACGCUGGCGGAGUGCUUAAUACAUGCAAGUCGUGCGAGAAAGUCACCUUCGGGUGGCGAGUAGAGCGGCGAACGGGUGAGUAACACGUAAGCAACCUACCCCUUAAUCUAGAAUAACCUUGCUAACGCGGGGCUAAUACUGGAUAAUAUCCUUUAGUCGCAUGGCUGAAGGAUUAAAGGUGGCCUCUUCUUGAAAGCUACUGUUAAGAGAUGGGCUUGCGGACCAUUAGUUUGUUGGUAGGGUAACGGCCUACCAAGACUACGAUGGUUAGCCGACCUGAGAGGGUGAUCGGCCACAUUGGGACUGAGAUACGGCCCAGACUCCUACGGGAGGCAGCAGUAGGGAAUAUUGCGCAAUGGACGAAAGUCUGACGCAGCAACUCCGCGUGAGGGAUGACGGCCUUCGGGUUGCAAACCUCUGUUGUAUAGGAAGAAACCUCUGUGUGCUAAUACCACACAGGACUGACGGUACUAUACAAGAAAGCUCCGGCUAACUACGUGCCAGCAGCCGCGGUAAUACGUAGGGAGCAAGCGUUGUUCGAAUCACUGGGCGUAAAGAGAGCGUAGGCGGGAUUGCAAGUUAGAAGUGAAAUUUAUGGGCUUAACCCGUAACCUGCUUUUAAUACUGCUUUUCUUGAGUAUGGUAGAGGAAGACGGAAUUCCAGGUGUAGCGGUGGAAUGCGUAGAUAUCUGGAAGAACACCAGUUGCGAAGGCGGUCUUCUGGCCCAAUACAGACGCUGAGGCUCGAAAGCUAGGGGAGCGAACAGGAUUAGAUACCCUGGUAGUCCUAGCCGUAAACGAUGGAUACUAGAUGUUGGGGGCGCUUCAAUUAUUAGCCCUCAGUGUCGUAGCUAACGCAUUAAGUAUCCCGCCUGGGGAGUACGCUCGCAAGAGUGAAACUCAAAGGAAUUGACGGGGGCCCGCACAAGCGGUGGAGCAUGUGCUUUAAUUCGAUGCAACGCGAAGAACCUUACCUGGUCUUGACAUGGGAGUGAAACCUUCUAGAGAUAGAAGUCCUUCCUUCGGGAACACUCUACACAGGUGCUGCAUGGUUGUCGUCAGCUCGUGUCGUGAGAUGUUGGGUUAAGUCCCGCAACGAGCGCAACCCCUGUCCUUAGUUGCCAUCAGGUAAUGCUGGGAACUCUAAGGAGACCGCCUGGACAAACCAGGAGGAAGGUGGGGAUGACGUCAAAUCCUCAUGGCCCUUACGACCAGGGCUAGACACGUGCUACAAUGGGUGGUACAGUGGGAUGCGAGACCGCGAGGUGGAGCUAAUCCCUUAAAACCAUUCUCAGUUCGGAUUGGAGUCUGCAAUUCGACUCCAUGAAGGUGGAAUCGCUAGUAAUCGCGGAUCAGCAUGCCGCGGUGAAUCCGUUCCCGGGCCUUGUACACACCGCCCGUCAAGCCAUGAAAGACGGUAGUGCCCGAAGUCGUUGAUCCAACCCUUUAUUGGGAGGUAUACGCCUAAGGUAAGACUGUUGAUUGGGGCUAAGUCGUAACAAGGUA